AACCUUUUGAAUCCUUGCCGAUAUUUCGUCACACACAAUACCACCAGGACUGGUGAGACUCCGAAGAUAAGUUGAGCG
rnacentral:pre_miRNA from 1 species